UAAUGGGUGAUGGCGUGCCUUUUGUAGAAUGAACCGGCGAGUUACGAUUUGAUGCAAGGUUAAGCAGUAAAUGUGGAGCCGUAGCGAAAGCGAGUCUGAAUAGGGCGUUUAGUAUUUGGUCGUAGACCCGAAACCAGGUGAUCUACCCUUGGUCAGGUUGAAGUUCAGGUAACACUGAAUGGAGGACCGAACCGACUUACGUUGAAAAGUGAGCGGAUGAACUGAGGGUAGCGGAGAAAUUCCAAUCGAACCUGGAGAUAGCUGGUUCUCUCCGAAAUAGCUUUAGGGCUAGCCUCAAGUGAUGAUUAUUGGAGGUAGAGCACUGUUUGGACGAGGGGCCCCUCUCGGGUUACCGAAUUCAGACAAACUCCGAAUGCCAAUUAAUUUAACUUGGGAGUCAGAACAUGGGUGAUAAGGUCCGUGUUCGAAAGGGAAACAGCCCAGACCACCAGCUAAGGUCCCAAAAUAUAUGUUAAGUGGAAAAGGAUGUGGCGUUGCCCAGACAACUAGGAUGUUGGCUUAGAAGCAGCCAUCAUUUAAAGAGUGCGUAAUAGCUCACUAGUCGAGUGACACUGCGCCGAAAAUGUACCGGGGCUAAACAUAUUACCGAAGCUGUGGAUUGUCCUUUGGACAAUGGUAGGAGAGCGUUCUAAGGGCGUUGAAGCAUGAUCGUAAGGACAUGUGGAGCGCUUAGAAGUGAGAAUGCCGGUGUGAGUAGCGAAAGACGGGUGAGAAUCCCGUCCACCGAUUGACUAAGGUUUCCAGAGGAAGGCUCGUCCGCUCUGGGUUAGUCGGGUCCUAAGCUGAGGCCGACAGGCGUAGGCGAUGGAUAACAGGUUGAUAUUCCUGUACCACCUAUAAUCGUUUUAAUCGAUGGGGGGACGCAGUAGGAUAGGCGAAGCGUGCGAUUGGAUUGCACGUCUAAGCAGUAAGGCUGAGUAUUAGGCAAAUCCGGUACUCGUUAAGGCUGAGCUGUGAUGGGGAGAAGACAUUGAGUCUUCGAGUCGUUGAUUUCACACUGCCGAGAAAAGCCUCUAGAUAGAAAAUAGGUGCCCGUACCGCAAACCGACACAGGUAGUCAAGAUGAGAAUUCUAAGGUGAGCGAGCGAACUCUCGUUAAGGAACUCGGCAAAAUGACCCCGUAACUUCGGGAGAAGGGGUGCUCUUUAGGGUUAACGCCCAGAAGAGCCGCAGUGAAUAGGCCCAAGCGACUGUUUAUCAAAAACACAGGUCUCUGCUAAACCGUAAGGUGAUGUAUAGGGGCUGACGCCUGCCCGGUGCUGGAAGGUUAAGAGGAGUGGUUAGCUUCUGCGAAGCUACGAAUCGAAGCCCCAGUAAACGGCGGCCGUAACUAUAACGGUCCUAAGGUAGCGAAAUUCCUUGUCGGGUAAGUUCCGACCCGCACGAAAGGCGUAACGAUUUGGGCACUGUCUCAACGAGAGACUCGGUGAAAUCAUAGUACCUGUGAAGAUGCAGGUUACCCGCGACAGGACGGAAAGACCCCGUGGAGCUUUACUGUAGCCUGAUAUUGAAAUUCGGCACAGCUUGUACAGGAUAGGUAGGAGCCUUUGAAACGUGAGCGCUAGCUUACGUGGAGGCGCUGGUGGGAUACUACCCUAGCUGUGUUGGCUUUCUAACCCGCACCACUUAUCGUGGUGGGAGACAGUGUCAAGCGGGCAGUUUGACUGGGGCGGUCGCCUCCUAAAAGGUAACGGAGGCGCUCAAAGGUUCCCUCAGAAUGGUUGGAAAUCAUUCAUAGAGUGUAAAGGCAUAAGGGAGCUUGACUGCGAGACCUACAAGUCGAGCAGGGUCGAAAGACGGACUUAGUGAUCCGGUGGUUCCGCAUGGAAGGGCCAUCGCUCAACGGAUAAAAGCUACCCCGGGGAUAACAGGCUUAUCUCCCCCAAGAGUUCACAUCGACGGGGAGGUUUGGCACCUCGAUGUCGGCUCAUCGCAUCCUGGGGCUGUAGUCGGUCCCAAGGGUUGGGCUGUUCGCCCAUUAAAGCGGUACGCGAGCUGGGUUCAGAACGUCGUGAGACAGUUCGGUCCCUAUCCGUCGUGGGCGUAGGAAAUUUGAGAGGAGCUGUCCUUAGUACGAGAGGACCGGGAUGGACAUACCUCUGGUGUACCAGUUGUCGUGCCAACGGCAUAGCUGGGUAGCUAUGUGUGGACGGGAUAAGUGCUGAAAGCAUCUAAGCAUGAAGCCCCCCUCAAGAUGAGAUUUCCCAACUUCGGUUAUAAGAUCCCUCAAAGAUGAUGAGGUUAAUAGGUUCGAGGUGGAAGCAUGGUGACAUGUGGAGCUGACGAAUACUAAUCGAUCGAAGACUUAAUCAA
rnacentral:rRNA from 1 species